rnacentral:lncRNA from 1 species
GAACUCAUCUUCAUGCCACCAACCAGGUGAUGAAAUGUACAACGCGUACUUUCCUUCAUGCCACCAACCAAGUGAUGAAAUGUACAACGCGUACUCUCCUUCAUGUCACCAACCAAGUGAUGAAAUGUGAUGAAAUGUGAUGAAAGGUGAUUAAGGAAUUCACAUUCGUACCACCAACCAAGUGAUGAAAGCAACAUACCAUUCAUUCCAUUAACCAGAAGAC